GGUUACUGCUAUCGGUGUUCGUCUAAGCCAUGCGAGUCAUAUGUAGCAAUACAUGGCGUACUGCUCAGUAACACGUGGAUAACCUGCCCUUGGGUCCGGCAUAACCCCGGGAAACUGGGGAUAAUUCCGGAUAACGCAUAUAUGCUGGAAUGCUUUAUGCGUGAAAUGGAUUCGUCUGCCCAAGGAUGGGUCUGCGGCCUAUCUGGUAGUAGUGGGUGUAAUGUACCUACUAGCCUACGACGGGUACGGGUUGUGAGAGCAAGAGCCCGGAGAUGGAUUCUGAGACAUGAAUCCAGGCCCUACGGGGCGCAGCAGGCGCGAAAACUUUACAAUGCGGGAAACCGUGAUAAGGGGACACCGAGUGCCAGCAUCCUAUGCUGGCUGUCCGGGUGUGUAAAAUACACCUGUUAGCAAGGGCCGGGCAAGACCGGUGCCAGCCGCCGCGGUAACACCGGCGGCCCGAGUGGUGAUCGUGAUUAUUGGGUCUAAAGGGUCCGUAGCCGGUUUGGUCAGUCCUCCGGGAAAUCUGACAGCUCAACUGUUAGGCUAUCGGAGGAUACUGCCAGACUUGGAACCGGGAGAGGUAAGAGGUACUACAGGGGUAGGAGUGAAAUCUUGUAAUCCCUGUGGGACCACCUGUGGCGAAGGCGUCUUACCAGAACGGGUUCGACGGUGAGGGACGAAAGCUGGGGGCACGAACCGGAUUAGAUACCCGGGUAGUCCCAGCCGUAAACGAUGCUCGCUAGGUGUCAGGCAUGGCGCGACCGUGUCUGGUGCCGCAGGGAAGCCGUGAAGCGAGCCACCUGGGAAGUACGGCCGCAAGGCUGAAACUUAA
rnacentral:rRNA from 1 species